AUCAAACUUAAAAAAACGAUGUUGCCACUUAAUAGGAACUGUGUGAAUGUAAUGUUUAUCAUGGCUUUACUCCAUCCAUGAUAAGUAACAUGUCUAUAAUCUCAACAUGAUUAUUUGGCCGGAAUCAAAGUCUCUGCACGCAGUCCAUUCAUGAAUUUGUCGGGAGAGAAGGCGGGACCGUCUCCAAUUUUGGAAAGCUCAUUGGAUGGUGAUACUUCCUCUUUAAGCUAUUGGCUCCUUGGAGUCACGGUCAAGAGUUCAGAGUGCAAAGGCCGGCGGCCAUUUUGUAGAUCAGAUCGCUACAAUGUUUAUGCGUGAAAGUAUGGCUCCACUCUCACCAGCAGCUGGUUUGGAUAUCAGUGCACCUUUUCAAGGAUGUAUAUCGACGAAUGAAGGUGUUAUGGAAUAAUGUUUAUGGAUUAGAUUGCCUGGUCAUUUGCCUUCGAACUACUUCAGCUAUCAGAAUGUUAUGGAUCUGCUGACCAGCGGGAGGCUGAGAGGUCUUUGAAACAUCUUCUACCAUGAAAGUGGUAAAGCUGGAGAAAUCCGCUCACUCUCGAGCUGUUUUCAGAUUACUCAUUAGUAUGCAUGGGACACCAAAACCAGAUUUAAACCUUGCGGAUGACUACAGGACUUCGUCACCAAUAGCUUCCAUCGUCCAUCCAAUCUGUGAGGGACAUCAUCAGGAAGAAAACACUCAACAACACGGCUCUGGGGGAACUGAGAAGCAGAUGAAUGACACUGUCACGCAGACUCCAAUCAAACGCACAGAAACUGACAAUAAGCAAUCUGAGAGUGCUUUCCAUCAGCAAAGCCUUUUGAGAAGAGCCAUCGGGAUUCUUCUCAUCUUCUUCUUCAUUUUUGGAGUAAUUGUUUUUUUCAUGGUCACCAAUCAGUAUUGCUUGAGUGACUUUGUAAAACUGUGCUGUGUUAAAAGGCACAAUCCGCCCGUAUGAACAUAUGAACACAGUUUGCAUUCAGAACACAAUAAAGCAUGACAAAAUGUGGUUUGAAAAAGU